rnacentral:rRNA from 1 species
UGGGGGAUCAGUGGCGAACGGGUGAGUAACACGUGAGCAACCUGCCCCUGACUCUGGGAUAACUCCGGGAAACCGGUGCUAAUACCGGAUAUGACCUGCGUGGGCAUCUGCGUGGGUGGAAAGAUUUAUCGGUCAGGGAUGGGCUCGCGGCCUAUCAGCUUGUUGGUGGGGUGAUGGCCUACCAAGGCGACGACGGGUAGCCGGCCUGAGAGGGCGACCGGCCACACUGGGACUGAGACACGGCCCAGACUCCUACGGGAGGCAGCAGUGGGGAAUAUUGCUCAAUGGGCGCAAGCCUGAAGCAGCGACGCCGCGUGAGGGAUGAAGGCCUUCGGGUUGUAAACCUCUUUCAGCAGGGAAGAAGCGCAAGUGACGGUACCUGCAGAAGAAGCACCGGCUAACUACGUGCCAGCAGCCGCGGUAAUACGUAGGGUGCAAGCGUUGUCCGGAAUUAUUGGGCGUAAAGAGCUCGUAGGCGGUCUGUCGCGUCUGCUGUGAAAACCUGGGGCUUAACCCCGGGCCUGCAGUGGGUACGGGCAGACUAGAGUGCGGUAGGGGAGACUGGAAUUCCUGGUGUAGCGGUGAAAUGCGCAGAUAUCAGGAGGAACACCGGUGGCGAAGGCGGGUCUCUGGGCCGUAACUGACGCUGAGGAGCGAAAGCAUGGGUAGCGAACAGGAUUAGAUACCCUGGUAGUCCAUGCCGUAAACGUUGGGCGCUAGGUGUGGGGCUCAUUCCACGAGUUCCGUGCCGCAG